GAAAGAUGGUUUCGGCUAUCGCUUACAGAUGGGCCCGCGGUGCAUUAGCUAGUUGGUAGGGUAAUGGCCUACCAAGGCAACGAUGCAUAGCCGACCUGAGAGGGUGAUCGGCCACACUGGGACUGAGACACGGCCCAGACUCCUACGGGAGGCAGCAGUAGGGAAUCUUCCGCAAUGGACGAAAGUCUGACGGAGCAACGCCGCGUGUAUGAAGAAGGUUUUCGGAUCGUAAAGUACUGUUGUUAGAGAAGAACAAGGAUAAGAGUAACUGCUUGUCCCUUGACGGUAUCUAACCAGAAAGCCACGGCUAACUACGUGCCAGCAGCCGCGGUAAUACGUAGGUGGCAAGCGUUGUCCGGAUUUAUUGGGCGUAAAGCGCGCGCAGGCGGUC
rnacentral:rRNA from 1 species